UACGUAGGGGCCUAGCGUUGUCCGGAUUUAUUGGGCGUAAAGAGCUCGUAGGCGGUUCGGUAAGUCAGGUGUGAAAUCUCCACGCUCAACGUGGAGGCGCCACCUGAAACUGCCGUGACUCGAGUCCGGUAGGGGAGUGUGGAAUUCCUGGUGUAGAGGUGAAAUUCGUAGAUAUCGGGAGGAACACCGGUGGCGAAGGCGGCGACCUGGGUCGACACUGACGCUGAGGCGCGAAAGCGUGGGGAGCAAACAGG
rnacentral:rRNA from 1 species